rnacentral:rRNA from 1 species
UACAGAGGUCUCAAGCGUUGUUCGGAAUCACUGGGCGUAAAGCGUGCGUAGGCUGUUUCGUAAGUCGUGUGUGAAAGGCGCGGGCUCAACCCGCGGACGGCACAUGAUACUGCGAGACUAGAGUAAUGGAGGGGGAACCGGAAUUCUCGGUGUAGCAGUGAAAUGCGUAGAUAUCGAGAGGAACACUCGUGGCGAAGGCGGGUUCCUGGACAUUAACUGACGCUGAGGCUCGAAAGUGUGGGUAUCAAACAGG